rnacentral:rRNA from 1 species
CAGACUCCUACGGGGAGGCAGCAGUGGGGAAUAUUGCACAAUGGGCGCAAGCCUGAUGCAGCCAUGCCGCGUGUAUGAAGAAGGCGUUCGGGUCCUAAAGUACUUUCAGCGGGGAGGAAGGCGUUGAGUUUAAUAACAUCAGCGAUUGACGUUACCCGCAGAAGAAGCACCGGCUAACUCCGUGCCAGCAGCCGCGGUAAUACGGAGGGUGCAAGCGUUAAUCGGAAUUACUGGGCGUAAAGCGCACGCAGGCGGUCUGUCAAGUCGGAUGUGAAAUCCCCGGGCUCAACCUGGGAACUGCAUUCGAAACUGGCAGGCUAGAGUCUGGUAGAGGGGGGUGGAAUUCCAGGUGUAGCGGUGAAAUGCGUAGAGAUCUGGAGGAAUACCGGUGGCGAAGGCGGCCCCCUGGACAAAGACUGACGCUCAGGUGCGAAAGC